UACAGAGGGUGCAAGCGUUGUUCGGAAUUAUUGGGCGUAAAGGGCGCGUAGGCGGUGCUGUAAGUCUGUGGUGAAAUCUCUGGGCUCAACUCAGAGUCUGCCAUAGAAACUGCAGUGCUGGAGUGUGGGAGAGGUGAGUGGAAUUCCCGGUGUAGCGGUGAAAUGCGUAGAUAUCGGGAGGGACACCUGUGGCGAAAGCGGCUCACUGGACCACAACUGACGCUGAGGCGCGAAAGCUAGGGGAGCAAACAGG
rnacentral:rRNA from 1 species